rnacentral:misc_RNA from 1 species
AACGCACAUUGCGCCCCUUGGUAUUCCGAGGGGCAUGCCUGUUCGAGCGUCAUUUCAACCCUCAAGCGUAGCUUGGUAUUGGGCUUCGCUGUAAUCCAGCGGGUCUUAAAAACAGUGGCGGUGCCACCAGGCUCUGAGCGUAGUAAUUAUCCUCGCUAUAGGGUCCUGGUGGAUACUAGCUAUCCCCCCCAAUUUUCUAUGGUUGACCUCGGAUCAGGUAGGGAUACCCGCUGAACUUAA